rnacentral:rRNA from 1 species
AACGAACGCUGGCGGCGUGCCUAACACAUGCAAGUCGUGCGCGAAAAUGGGGGCAACCCUGUGAGUAGAGCGGCGCACGGGUGAGUAACACGUAGGCAACCUACCCCGGAGACCGGGAUAACCUGUCGAAAGGCGGGCUAAUACUGGAUAAGACCACGGAGGCUGCGGCUUCUGAGGUAAAAGGUGGCCUCUGGUUACAAGCUACGACUUUGGGAUGGGCCUGCGCGCCAUUAGCUUGUUGGCGGGGUAAUGGCCCACCAAGGCGAAGAUGGCUAGCUGGUCUGAGAGGAUGACCAGCCACACUGGGACUGAGACACGGCCCAGACUCCUACGGGAGGCAGCAGUGGGGAAUAUUGCGCAAUGGGCGAAAGCCUGACGCAGCGACGCCGCGUGGGUGAUGAAGGCCUUCGGGUCGUAAAGCCCUGUCGGGAGGGAAGAAAUCUCGUCGGUCUAAUAUGCCGGCAACUUGACGGUACCUCUUAAGGAAGCACCGGCUAACUCCGUGCCAGCCGCCGCCGUAAAAC